CUACGGGGUGCUGCAGUGGGGAAUAUUGAACAAUGGGCGCAAGCCUGAUCCAGCAAUGCCGCGUGAGUGAAGACGGCCUUAGGGUUGUAAAACUCUUUCGCUAGGGAAGAUAAUGACUGUACCUAGUAAAGAAGUCCCGGCUAACUCCGUGCCAGCAGCCGCGGUAAUACGGAGGGGACUAGCGUUGUUCGGAAUUACUGGGCGUAAAGAGUUCGUAGGCGGACUGACAAGUUAGAGGUGAAAUCCCAGGGCUCAACCCUGGAACUGCCUUUAAAACUGUCAGUCUAGAGACCGGAAGAGGUUAGGGGAAUACCUAGUGUAGAGGUGAAAUUCGUAGAUAUUAGGUGGAACACCAGUGGCGAAGGCACCUAACUGGUCCGGUACUGACGCUGAGGAACGAAAGCGUGGGGAGCAAACAGGAUUAGAUACCCCCGUAGUC
rnacentral:rRNA from 1 species